rnacentral:ncRNA from 1 species
ACUGAGGAAGGAUUUGACUGAUUGCAGACCUCAUUAAAAAAAUGCUAAACCAGUG